GUGUGUGUGGGGGGGUGUGUGUCGCAUCCUGCGUAAUUUGCGCGUGCAUGUACGGCUGAGGUCCAGCCUGCCUCCACUUCCUGCUAUGUGUGUGUAUUGAAACCAUCGGUCUGUGGAGGCUCCACAUCAGCGUGAACGAGCACCACUCCGUCCGGAGGGUCUGACGCGCCGCGCGGACACGUGCACGCGCCUCGUCCUAUAACCUAAGAACGAAUAGAGGCGUGUUCACGUGUGUUCAUAAAGAGGAGCCAGGAGCCGGAGACCUCCUCUCUUCAGCCGAGGUAUCAGUGAGUCUCUCGGGCUGGAGCGCGGACCUUCUCCCGUCCCUUUGUCUCCAGAGACGGCCACUCCGUGAGCCGACCACCGCUUUUUAGGUACCGUGGGUGGAGGGUCUUGUUAAGGUCUUAUUCAUCCAUCGCCCCCCCCCCCCCUCCAGUUCCAGACAUCCAAACACACACAGCCUCAACACCUGGAUAUGAGGGGCAGCUGCUCACAGGUGUGCACCCUGUCGCCACCCAACAAGAAGAGAAAGAAAACAGCUAAAAAGACCAUGGAUACACAGAGUCUGGAGACCCGUGAUGUCGGGACUCAGACAGAUAAAGAUCCAGAUGACAGAGGGACUCAGACGACUAUAGAGUCAUAUAGUAGAGAGACUCAGACAGAAACAGAUUCAUAUAAUAGAGAGACUCAGACCACGGUGCAGUGGCAAUCUGCGAAGACCCAGACUUCUAAAGGGCUGCACAAGAAGUGUCUACACCUCAGGUAGGCCAACCGGACCCAAAGAAAACAGCUACAAGAGCAUCAAAAGCAGCUGGACCCCCCCAGACAGACACCCGACAGUGAUCAACGACGACAAACACCAAUCAAAUAACUUCAGUGCCAAAGACAUGUCGCCUCCCCGAAAGGUUCCAAGACGUAUUCUGUUCCCGGGUCUUUGUAAAGCUGCACAUGACCACAGCAUUGAUGCUGAGGCCCCUCAGCUCCUGGGCGACGGGGGGCAUCAGACCCCCAACGUUCCACGGCCGAAGAGGCCGGACCGCAGCUCACGAGGAUCCGUACGCCGGAGGGUCCCGGUGUGAAGGAGGAGCCAUAAUGGCCGCCGCCAGGGCCUCAAACACACUGCCUACAAAAAUGGCGUCGCUUUUGGUGUGAACGCACCUUUACUGUCAAAGUGCGUCAGGCCGCUGAAAGGGAAGUUGAAUGUCUAUUUGUUGUUGUUAAAUAUCUCUUGUUCUGCCUGUUUUGUGACAGGACUAAAAGGUGCCUGAUAAUAGCGGCAUUAUAAUUAUUAUAACUAAUGAUUUUUUUUAGUUGCCUAUUUUCUGGGGCCCCCUCCGGACUCGGUGGGGAUUCUCUUUCAGGUGCACGGUGUCCAUCACCGUUGUCGUGAUGUACUACGAUAUACUUUUAAAAAUAUGUACGUGUGUUUCAACAAUGAUGAUCAUUCGCUCCAUGGAGGGACACACUUCAUACAGCCCAAUAUCACAAAUUACAGACUCGGGGGUCUGAGACUCGAUUCGGGAACCUUUACUUUCCCUGCGGGGGAAACUCCACCCACACUUAUCAGGGGAGGGACUUACAACAUGGUUGCUUAGAAGUCCACCAACAUUACACUCUGCAGAUACACACGACUGCACCAAGAGGAUGCCUCCACGCUGGCCUUUGGUCAUAUUGUAUUAUAUAAUUUAUGCAUCUUAACACUAAUUAAACAGAACUAAAGUUUAUUUUCAAUACAAAUCCUCACGGCUCAUGUGGCUUGGUGCCGAGCGGCUCAGCGUGAGCCUGACAGGUGCCUCACCUCUAUCUACAUCACCCUAUGAAAAGAAAAAAAUUACGAGAAAAUACAUGUUAUGAUAAAUUAAUGCAAUUUAUAUCUAAAUCUUUUCAAUGUAUCAAAAUAAGUUUGAACAUGUAUUUUCCAUUAAAACGAGUGAGUUCUCCUGAUUGAUCUCUGGAGGGGAGAAUAACUGA